GUAGAAUUCUAAAUAGAAUUUGUAUAUACCUAUUUCCAUAUUUGAUGAACUAAAGUUGUAGAUAUCAUGGUCAAUCUGUCCUCUGUUGCCUUAGUUCUGUUUAUUGCUCUGUGUCUGAUUAAUAAGUAAGCCAGGAUACAAAAGGAGAGGGCGUGGAGGUCUUCUUAAAGAGGAAGACAUUGUAGUCUCCCUCAUUCAACAAAGACUAUUAUCCCAGGAGGUCAACCUUUUCUCUUAACCUUCCAUUUGGUGUUAUAGACAUGUAAGAGACAGUUUAUUCAAUUCUAAUUUGCUUGUUUUAUCUGGCGAAGGACAUUGCUUUUUGGACUGGGGGAUGACACAGACUGGUGAUGGAUUCUGCCAGGAGGCCCUGUUUCAUAACCGUGUGUUUGUGGGUACUGGCAACCACCUGUCUUCCAUAUUCCGGCUCCCAGAGCCCCAGCCUGUGGGGUAAGAAGGCAGUGUUCUUGGGCCGUCCAUGUAUGUGGCAGCUGGGUAAGGAGUGUGUAAUGCCCCUCCUGGAAGAGCUCAGUGUGUGUGUGCACCUGUGCCGGAAGAUUGCAACGCCUGAGUGGACCGGCUUUGUGUACAAGGCGCCUGGCAACAGGCAGGUAGAGCUGGGGCUUGCAGGCCGGGGAGGGCUCCUGGUGGCAUGGCUGUUUGGGCAGGAGUGGUCGGUACCAGAAGACCUGCCCCUGGAACACUGGCAAAACAUCUGCCUCACCUGGUCCAGCAACUCCAAGAGGCUCAGACUCUACAUCAAUGGGAGCAGUCGCCUGGACGCCCACGUUAACGCCAGCCUGUCCCGGCAACUGGCCCACAAUGGCACCCUGACCCUGGGGGUGUCCCAUAACAUAGUAGAUGGGGUGAUGGAGUUUGAGGAUGGGAAGAACUUCCUGGGGGACAUAAGCCUGUUCAGGAUGUGGGGGCGGGAGCAGACGGCUGAGGAGGUGAGGGCCCAUAGCUGUGCCGAUGGGAACGUGGUGAGCUGGGACACCCGUGACUGGGACUACCAGAGCUGCCUACCUGAAGAUGACACUAGCCUCCAGUGUGCAUGGUCAAUGUUCAAAAUUAAAAUGAAGGCCGUCAUAGCACAACGGCACCCUCUUGACAAGCCUGUCAAUUCCCCAGAGGACAUCAUACGCAAAUGGGUAAGAAGAAUGUGAUAAAGGAUUACUUUUUCCAUUACAUAAAGGUGCCAUGAUAUUCAAUCCCAGUUGAAUAUGAACCCUAUUUGUCUCUUUUGUCAUUUUCCAUCAGCUGGGGACCAUAUUUCCUGGGAACAUUUCUGUGCGUGACAUCUUUGUGUCAUCUCCAAGGUAGUUUCAUGUGUCAAUUGAACGGAAUUGUCCAUUGGAAUAUAAUGUACAGCAUUGCUUGAAUGGGGAGGGUGUUUUUAUAUGUGCGUACGUGUGUGCAAGUGUGCGUGUAUGUUUGUGGGUGCUUGUAUGUGCGUAUAAUAUAGCGAAGCCAUAUCUAUAUGAGAUACCAACAUAAAGAACAAAACUGUCUAGACUUUCAACAUCUUGUGUGAAUAUGAUGAUGUGUGUAUGUGUGUGUUGAAGCAACCUAGAACAUUGAAAUUAACACUGUGUGGACACAUGCCCCUUAGCCUAAUCUCUAGUGUUAUCUGUGUUCCCACACAGCCAGAUCUGUCAAGUGGGCUAUAAUCCUAGUGUGCGAAACACAGAGAAAGCUCAGGUACGUCACUGUCCAGUGCCUCAAUUUGAUUUUCCAUAACGAGGAUUGCAAUAUCCUCAGAGAAGCACCGUGCUGAUAGGGACAGCACUGAAGGGCUCCAGAUAACGUUGUUAUUCAACAGGACAGGCAGGAAACUGGCAGACAGGCUUUCAUCGUAAACCCUUUUGUCAGGUCGCAGACGAGGGGAAAGGUAAACUCAUGAACAAGUGGGAGAAUUGUAAUUAAGAGACCUUACAAGUUAGAACUAAAAUCAUAAAUAUGUGUUUGUUUCCAGGAAUCAAGAAAAAUGGAGUUCAACUCAACUUCUAACAAGUGGUAUGAGGAGAAUGCAUAAGUCAUCUUCCUCAGGAAUGUCAAUAAUAUGCCAGCAUGAGGAUGCAUAAUGGACAUUAUAGUUUCUAGUCUGAUGUUGUGUUGCUUCACUGUAGUGUCUCUCUCCAUAGUGUCAGCUGUUUGGUCUAUGUGAGUGUUAGUCCUGAGACUGAUGUUGGAGCGGCCCAGAAUGAUAUCUUUGGAAAGCUGAGUCUAGCCUUCACCUCUGGCCAAGUCACCCUUAUUGCAGACCCCAGCAGCCUCAGUGUACGCCCCAUAGGUGGGUACACACACACACACACACACACACACACACACACACACACAUACACACACAGUAACAGUCAAAAGUUUGGACACACCUAGCUGUUCAAGAGUUUUUCUUUAUUUUUACUAUUUUAUAUUUUAUGCAUACAUAAUAAUAGUGAAGA
rnacentral:lncRNA from 1 species